ensembl:snRNA U6 U6 spliceosomal RNA
GUGCUCGCUUUGGCAGCACAUACACUAAAAUUGGAAUGAUACAGAGAAGAUUAGCAUGGCCCCCGUACAAGGUUGACACGCAAAUUUGUGAAGCGUUCCAUAUUUUU